rnacentral:rRNA from 1 species
UGGGGAAUAUUGCACAAUGGGGGAAACCCUGAUGCAGCCAUGCCGCGUGUGUGAAGAAGGCCUUCGGGUUGUAAAGCACUUUCAGUUGUGAGGAAAAGUUAGUAGUUAAUACCUGCUAGCCGUGACGUUAACAACAGAAGAAGCACCGGCUAACUCCGUGCCAGCAGCCGCGGUAAUACGGAGGGUGCGAGCGUUAAUCGGAAUUACUGGGCGUAAAGCGCACGCAGGCGGUUUGUUAAGCUAGAUGUGAAAGCCCCGGGCUCAACCUGGGACGGUCAUUUAGAACUGGCAGACUAGAGUCUUGGAGAGGGGAGUGGAAUUCCAGGUGUAGCGGUGAAAUGCGUAGAUAUCUGGAGGAACAUCAGUGGCGAAGGCGACUCCCUGGCCAAAGACUGACGCUCAUGUGCGAAAGUGUGGGUAGCGAACAGGAUUAGAUACCCUGGUAGUCCACACCGUAAACGCUGUCUACUAGCUGUUUGUGGCUUUAAGCCGUGAGUAGCGAAGCUAACGCGAUAAGUAGACCGCCUGGGGAGUACGGCC